CAAACUCUAAUCCAGUAGGAAGAGCACCCUGAAGAGGCAAUCGAGGACGCUGUUUAUUGGAUUUAAUUUGGACCCUGCAGGAAAUGGGUUGAUACUUGUGUGACCUGACCCUGUUGCUCCAAGUGAAAUUCGUUCUAGGGUUCUAAAAGAUAUUCUCCAUUUUUUCCCUUUCCCAGAAACCGUGCGUGUUGCAACAUUUCUAGGACACACAUCGUUUCUCAUGUGAUUCAAUCAAACGAAAAUUCCAUUUGUUUGUCUGUGAUUCAAUCAAACUCUCAGUAGCAAGAGCACCCUGAAGAGGCAAUCGAGGACGCUGUUUAUUGGAUUUAAUUUGGACCCUGCAGGAAAUGGGUUGAUACUUAAUAAAGGCAUUUGACUUGAGAAGGAAACCGUGCCUGUUGCAACAUUUCUACGCCCCACAUACUCUCACCAACAUUUCUAUAAACCACAAGAACAAGAACGGACAAUUCUUCAGCUUGGUUAUCUAAGCAUCCAUCACAUGGCGUCCUGGCCACAAUUCAAAACAGGGGUGAAAACAUAAACAUCAAAACUCUACUGCAGAAGUGCUCCAACAAGUUCAAAGUUUCACACGGCACAGAAACAAGGCAGUGCACAUCUAGUCCUCCUCCUCGCCCUCGUUCUCAG
rnacentral:lncRNA from 1 species